GCUUUGGGCCUGGCUGGAGCACACUCACGGAACCACGCCAACGCCUGGCCUGUAGCCAGCUCCCACCUCCCCUCCCACCUUCUAAAAUGCUUGCGGAUCUCACGUGGCCGACCCUAACCAGAUACACAUGGGGAAAGGAAUCAGGUGGCACACAUACCGCCUUUACUCCAUAGAGAACUUCCAAUUGUGGGUAAGAACAAAGCCCCACCUCUUCCUAAUAGAUGCAGUUUUCCACCUGCAGCCAAAAAGACAACCUGUUAUUAGCUUUUUUCCCAGAGGACAGGCAUCUCUAUGAAACUGCCAUUGCAAAAUUUGCCGACAGUGAGAUAACCAGCUCCAUUUUGCUUCUAACCUCCAUGCCCUCCUUGUUUACUGCUGCACGCAGGUUGAACUGUGGGAGGAACUUAGUUUAAAACAAAGAUGAUAACAGCCCUUUCCCAAAGGAAACCUUUCCUGGGGAUUAGCCUGCUUUUGUGGGACCAACAGAUUAGCCACAAGAUUAGAAACUACGGUUGAAGAGUCACGCAGCGGGAGGCUACAGGAUUCUGACCCUCCCCAAACUGCUCCUGGCGAUAACAUCACCAUCGUAAAGCCUAAGAUCAGCACUUGGUGGGUCACCUGGCACCACCCAGGCUCAUCUGAUGUUGUGGCACCCAGGAACUGACUCAGUGCGAAAACAGCUUCGACUCCCUGUGAUUUCAUCUCUGACCUGACCAAUGGGUACUUCUGACUCACUGGCUGCCCCCCACCCACCAGCUUAUCUUUAAAAACUCCAAACCCCAGAUGCUCAGGGAGACCGAGUAAUAAUAAAACUCCAGUCUCCCACACAGCUAGCUCUGCGUGAAUUACCUUUUCUCUGUUGCAAAUGCCCUUUCUUGAUAAAUUGGCUGUCUAGGUAACAGGGAAGGUGAACCCACUGGGCAGUUACACUUUUAUCCACCCUUCCAGCUGGAUCACGCGCCCUCUUCAAUGACAUGACACGCAGCUAGAGUGUAUGAGCUUGCUGCCGGCACCUUCCGUCCUGGAUCGCAUAGCAAGGCCUCAAUGGACAGCCAGGUGCCUGGUCCGGUCCCACUUUUUUUUCUGUCCUGUUCUCGUUUCCUCUUUGCUUGGCCAAAGAGGGUUGGGCCAGGGUCCUGAGUGCAAAGGCUUGGCUUGGUGAAUUAAAGUGGCAGUAGCCGUGUGGCAGAGAAAAUUUGUAGAUGGGUGAAAUCCUGGGCCUACACAGUGACAAAGUGUAUAUAGACAGCCAGCCUAGUUGGUGGAUGUGACAACCCCAGACUCUUCUAGAUUUGUGGAUCCGUGCACCUGCCAGACCUGUCUCUGAGCCAUCUGGGGAGGCUGGGUCGGCACAGACGCAACCCAGUCUCCUCCCACCUCCGAGAGUGCAGUGUCCUGAAUGGAGAACCCCAGCACCCAGAAGCAUCCACUGAAGGACGUGUGUCCUGGAACCCUGGCUGCACCCACAGAUACAGCCACUCCUGGGCCCAUGUGGAUGUAACCUUCGAGUGCCGGAAUGCCUCGUCUCCAUGGAGACCAAACUCAAGGGCCUGACUGGCCCAGUCUACCGAGACCAUGAGACCUGCUGUGCCCCUCGGCCAGGCCAACCCAAAUUCUUUUAAAUAAAAGGCACAAGCCACAGCCACACCAGCAGGAAGUGGAUACAGGAUAAGGGGCAGGGCUCACAUCUCAUCCUCAUCAGCCUUUGACCAGGCGACGGAGUCUGUGAUAGCUAGCUUAUCUGCUCUAUGCUCCAGGGACCUGGCCGGAACGAGCCGAGUUGCUGUCCUCAUGGAACUCUCAUCCUAGUGGGGCAGAGACAAGGACGGUGUAACGUGCCCGGGGGUCAGCACCACAGACAAAACGCAGGGAGCACGGCACAGUGUGGGCCAGGGAAGGCCUGGCUUCCCAAGGGUGUGGGCGCGAGCAGCAUGGCUGUGGGGAGUUCUAGGUGCAGAGAACUACUCCAGAGACGAAGCCAGGCCUGCGAGGAGGCCGGAGCGCAUGAGGGGAAGGCACGAGGCAAGGCUGCCAGGGCUGUGCUGGUGGUGCGGGACGGUCCUGUGGGGGUAGCUGCGGAGAUGGCACUGAUGCCUUCGGCUCCAGCAGCAUCCUGGGCUGGUGCGGGCCAAUAAGGGGCAGGGUUGGGGCAGGAUGAAAGGCACAAGCCACAGCCAUGUCAAGCAGGAAGUGGAUGCAGGGUACAGCCUGUCAGGGUCAGGGUGAAAGGCAGGGAGGCGGGUAGGCCAUAGGUGAAUUUGGAGCAGCCUGUAGAGGACAGGAUGUGCCAUCAAAGACUUGUUCUUGGGUCCAGCUGAGACUGUCCCUUGGGGCUUCCUGUCACCUUGUGCAGGAUAGUGAGACCAUCCUUGGAAAACCCAUCGGGACUGCAGAGCGCGGCUCAGAGCUGACUGUCCAGGCCUGGCAGGGGCUGACCCCUGGGCGCUGGUGCACCCUCCGUGCGGCCUCUUGGAGGAAGCACACAAGGCGACAGUUCCCAGCUGCCGCCUGAGAUGCAGCAUCUGCUUUACUCCAGCCCAGCACUGCUCACCGUCACUGCCCACUCUUAUGAUUUUACUUCCCUUCAUAUUUGUGAUUUUGCAAAGAUGGUGUUGACUUACAGCUGCAGCAUCAAAUGACUGACUGCCACCAGCUUGGCCCCAGCUCAGGGACAUGUCUGAGCCCAGGCAGAGCACCCUAGUGGCCGGGAAGCCUCACCUGGAGCUCCUGCGGGUGGCUGCAGUCCGCCAGGUGAUCCGUGAGGAGGGCUUGGAGAGGCCCCAUGAUGGCGUGGAAGGAUGGCAGGGACCCGUACAUGAGCACGCAGCGCUUCAGCAGGGCCAGGCCCACAGCCAGGCAGGACAGUCUGUGAGGGCAGGAGGCAAGAGGAGGUCCAACUUGUUCUGUUUGUCACUGACAAAACCAAUAACGUGGCAAAAAUGAACUUCCCCACUUCCACUAGGCUGAAAACUCCAGUGUGGCCACCUUGGCCGGCCAGGGUUGGGCCCAUGCAACCACGGGCAAGGCAGGCUCAGGGUCAGGCCUAACGCAGGAGGGGAGGCUGUGGGAACCGCAGCGCCAGCUGGGAUGGGGCGGCUCCAUUUUUGGUUCCAAAUUAUGAUUUGUGAAAUCAAGCAAAUGUAUUUUGAAAAUGAAAAGAAAAAGGGACAGCAAGCCAACAUGCCUCA
rnacentral:lncRNA from 1 species